UACGUAGGGGGCGAGCGUUGUCCGGAGUUACUGGGCGUAAAGGGCGCGUAGGCGGUUCUUCAAGUCUCUCGUGAAAUCCCUCGGCUUAACUGAGGACGUGCGGGAGAUACUGAAGGGCUUGAGUCCGGAAGAGGGUGGUGGAAUUCCCAGUGUAGCGGUGAAAUGCGUAGAUAUUGGGAGGAACACCGGUGGCGAAGGCGGCCACCUGGGCCGGAACUGACGCUGAGGCGCGAAAGCGUGGGGAGCAAACGGG
rnacentral:rRNA from 1 species